UCCUGUGAUGACCUUACACGAACAAUCCAAUUCUUACCUAGCCCAUGGGGACUCCAAUUUACUCUAGAAUUACCCUGAGA
rnacentral:snoRNA from 1 species